GGUAUUGAAGGGAGCUUAUCAAUAUCAAAAGAUUGAGCUUUUCCAGACAUGUUAAAGCUCCAACCAAAUAUAAAAUGAGAGCUUGCAAGCACACCUGUUGAGGCUGAAAACCCAACGUACAUCUCAUCUUGCAACACGGGUGACAGAUCAACCCGAACCGACAAGAUCGGCAUAAUGGGUUUGCUUGAAGAUGGUGAAAUAGUUACAUUUAGUUCAUGUUUUGAACCAUCAUAAUCCACCCAUGCUUGGAUCUUUUUCCCACUUUUCAAAUUGAGAUCAUGUUUUGUAGAACCAACAUAAUAGCCAGCUGUGGUUGUGUUCUUUGACAACAUGGAGUUGAUAUUAACACCAACAUGGUUGUUAUCAAUAUCACCGAAUUCUAAGUCUUGAACCGUGUCGAAUUCUAUAGCGAAUAAAUGGUUUGAUGUAUUGCCAUUGUUUGUGAUGUUAAGGAGGCCAAGAUACUGGUUCGGUUGGGCUCCGGCGAGCUCUUUCGAUGGCGAUAUAGCGAAAGCCAGCCCAUGACCACCUAACUUUUUGUAUUCAGGCAAUAUGGCGAAAACAAAAGAUGUGGAAAAUGAUAAAGGUGUUUUAUUAUUUUUGAAACGGAUCGGGUUCGGGUAAAACCCAUGGCCGAUUAAGCGUGGGGUGCUGUCGGUGAGUUUUAGAAUGCCGUGGGGUGUGACACAUGCGGCCCCGUUGACGGAUAUGUUAAGGUUUUUGAAUCCAUUGAAGAUGAAGGAGAAAGAUAGAGAUUGAGUGAAGAGAAUAGGAAAAAGAAGAAGGUAGGGGAAGAACAUGUUUUGGUCAUGGGAGUACUAUUGUUCAUGUGUCAUAUUCAAUUGGUUGAAGAAGAAAGUAGAAACAUAAAGUAG
rnacentral:lncRNA from 1 species